GAUGAACGCUGGCGGCGUGCCUAAUACAUGCAAGUCGAGCGAACAGAUGAGGAGCUUGCUCCUCUGACGUUAGCGGCGGACGGGUGAGUAACACGUGGAUAACCUACCUAUAAGACUGGGAUAACUUCGGGAAACCGGAGCUAAUACCGGAUAAUAUAUUGAACCGCAUGGUUCAAUAGUGAAAGACGGUUUUGCUGUCACUUAUAGAUGGAUCCGCGCCGCAUUAGCUAGUUGGUAAGGUAACGGCUUACCAAGGCAACGAUGCGUAGCCGACCUGAGAGGGUGAUCGGCCACACUGGAACUGAGACACGGCCCAGACUCCUACGGGAGGCAGCAGUAGGGAAUCUUCCGCAAUGGGCGAAAGCCUGACGGAGCAACGCCGCGUGAGUGAUGAAGGUCUUCGGAUCGUAAAACUCUGUUAUUAGGGAAGAACAAAUGUGUAAGUAACUAUGCACGUCUUGACGGUACCUAAUCAGAAAGCCACGGCUAGCUACGUG
rnacentral:rRNA from 1 species